CCUACGGGAGGCAGCAGUGGGGAAUAUUGCACAAUGGGGGAAACUCUGAUGCAGCGACGCCGCGUGAGCGAUGAAGUUUUUCGGUAUGUAAAGCUCUGUCAGCAGGGAAGAAAAUGACGGUACCUGACUAAUCAUCCCCGGCUAACUACUUGCCAGCAGCCGCGGUAAUACGUAGGGGGCAAGCGUUAUCCGGAUUUACUGGGUGUAAAGGGAGCGUAGACGGCGAUGCAAGCCAGAUGUGAAAGCCCGGGGCUCAACCCCGGGACUGCAUUUGGAACUGUAUAGCUGGAGUGUAGGAGAGGCAGGCGGAAUUCCUAGUGUAGCGGUGAAAUGCGUAGAUAUUAGGAGGAACACCAGUGGCGAAGGCGGCCCGCUGGACGGUGACUGACGUUGAGGCUCGAAAGCGUGGGGAGCAAACAGGAUUAGAUACCCUAGUAGUC
rnacentral:rRNA from 1 species